GACGGAGGGGGCAAGCGUUGUCCGGAAUUACUGGGCGUAAAGCGCACGUAGGUGGCUCUGUGCGUCGGCGCUGAAACCUCUGGGCUUAACCCAGAGACGCGUGCCGAUACGACUGAGCUCGAGGCAGGGAGAGGGUAGCGGAAUUCCGGGUGUAGUGGUGAAAUGCGUAGAGAUCCGGAGGAACGCCUGUGGCGAAAGCGGCUACCUGGCCCUGUUCUGACACUGAGGUGCGAAAGCGUGGGGAGCGAAC
rnacentral:rRNA from 1 species